GUAAUGGAGAGUGUUAUGGAGAGGUGAAGAAGCGAGUGCAGGGAGGGUGGAGUGGGUGGAGAAAGGUGGCAGGAGUGAUUUGUGAUAGAACAACAUCAGCAAGAGUGAAGGGGAAAGUCUACAAGACAGUAGUGAGACCAGCUUUUUUGGACGGCUUAGAGA